AAUGAUUAUCGUCGACGUGCUCAUUGUAAAAUCAUUGGUUUCUAUCAACUGUUUAUGUAAGCGUUCUAACCAAAACAAAACAAAACAAAAAAAAUUUACAAAUAAACAAAAAGUCAAAAAAAAAUCACUUUAUUAUCAAUCACUUUCAUCAUCAUCAUCAUCAUCAUCGUUAGAUUGCAUUAUUAUUAUCAACAAAUAAAAGUCAAUCAUCCGAAAUUUACGAAAUCGAACCAAUUUAAAUCUGACUCACCCACAGUAGAUUUAUUUUUCUGAAUUCCAAUCCAAACGGAUCAGCCUCUCUUCACAUAUGUGUCUAAAUGUGAAUUGAAAGGAUUCGAUGUAUCGCCAUUGAUUCUUGUAUACAUC